rnacentral:ncRNA from 3 species
AGCGUUGGAUUGUUCACCCACUA